rnacentral:sRNA from 1 species
UUAAAUCUAACUAAAUGUCUAAAACCGUAACAAAUAUAGUAGGAGAUCACCAAUGACAGAAAUAAACU